AGAGGGAGAUCCCCUGCCACACUGGUACUGAGACACGGACCAGACUCCUACGGGAGGCAGCAGUGAGGAAUAUUGGUCAAUGGAGGCAACUCUGAACCAGCCAUGCCGCGUGCAGGAUGACGGUCCUAUGGAUUGUAAACUGCUUUUGUACAGGAAGAAACCUCCCUACGAGUAGGAGACUUGACGGUACUGUAAGAAUA
rnacentral:rRNA from 1 species